UUCCGAUGACGUGUACGCACAUCAUGGCACAUGUGCAUCAUCAGAACUCAAUGGGAAGAAAAACUGAUGACGUACACGUGAGAAAGGGUUAAGUUGCUGCUGCUGCUGCCUUCGCUGGCUGUCGGUUUCGCAACGUGGCCGAAGAGACCGCCACGAUCGAGGACACGAGUGGGCAUCGACAACAAGUGGUGUGCAGCACGGUUAUUCACUGCCUAAAAAUCCUGCUUUGACCACGAGGGCGGACAUCAUUGCUCUUGCGAGACAGAGAGAGAGAGACGCAUCGGCAGCGAGCGUCCCAACGUCUCGCGAACGUCUCGGCAAGGCGAUUUCAUCUUGAGCACGAUAAGGGUCUCGCGGGCUGCGGUUUCGGAGCUACAAGCUACGACGAUGGUGCUGAUGGUCACGGCUCUGGGUCAGGG